ACGAACGCUGGCGGCGUGCUUAACACAUGCCAGUCGAACGGAAAGGCCCUGCUUUUGUGGGGUGCUCGAGUGGCGAACGGGGGAGUAACACGUGAGUAACCUGCCCUUGACUUUGGGAUAACUUCAGGAAACUGGGGCUAAUACCGGAUAGGGGCUCCUGCUGCAUGGUGGGGGUUGGAAAGUUUCGGCGGUUGGGGAUGGACUCGCGGCUUAUCAGCUUGUUGGUGGGGUAGUGGCUUACCAAGGCUUUGACGGGUAGCCGGCCUGAGAGGGUGACCGGCCACAUUGGGACUGAGAUACGGCCCAGACUCCUACGGGAGGCAGCAGUGGGGAAUAUUGCACAAUGGGCGGAAGCCUGAUGCAGCAACGCCGCGUGCGGGAUGACGGCCUUCGGGUUGUAAACCGCUUUCGCCUGUGACGAAGCGUGAGUGACGGUAAUGGGUAAAGAAGCACCGGCUAACUACGUG
rnacentral:rRNA from 1 species